UUUUGUAAAAUGAAUCACGUUUUAAUUCAUUGCUACAUGAAAUUGCUAUUUUCAUUAUGUGUUUCUUUUUUGGGAGAGUAUAUAUUGCUAUCUGGUAUGUAAGAUUGUAGGUAUAUUGCUAUCUGAUAUGUGAGAUUGUAUGUUUAUUGCUAUCUGGUAUUGGAGGUUUUUGAUCUGACGACAAUAGAAAUGAGGGAACAGAUAUGUAAUCUGUCAUAUCUUCUGUUUUACUGUCUCGGUUGUUUUUAAUUUAUUUGUAGAUUCUAUCAGAUUUGAAAAAUAUUACUCAGAAGAUGUGCUCUCACUUUUCCAUUUACGCCACACCAGUAAUGUAGUUGCCUAUUUCAGUCAGUGGGCCAGCAGCACAGUGGGAUUUGUUCUUUCUGAUUUGUUGUUUUUCUCUACUGCCACUAGUGCAGGCCUUAGUUCACAACUAGCUGUUCAACAGGUAAACUGACGGUAAAACAGGUAAACUGACUGUAUAACAGGUAAACUGACUACAUAACGGAUAAACUGACUGUAUAACAGGUAAACUGACUGUAUAACAGGUAAACUGACUGCAUAACAGGUAAACUGACUACAUAUCGGAUAAACUGACUGUAUAACAGGUAAACUGACUGCAUAACAGGUAAACUGACUGUAUAACAGGUAAACUGACUACAUAACGGAUAAACUGUCUGCACAUCAGGUAAACUGUCUGCACAUCAGGUAAACUGACUGCACAACAGGUAAACUGACUACACAACAGGUAAACUGUCUGCACAACAGGUAAACUGACUGCACAACAGGUAAACUGACUGCACAACAGGUAAACUGACUACACAACAGGUAAACUGACUGCACAACAGGUAAACUGUCUGCACAACAGGUAAACUGACUGUAAAAAUGAAGCAAAAUGACAUUACCUCAACAGUGCUGCUUAACUUUUCAUAUAUAUGAUAAAUAUUUCUAAAUACACCAAGCAGUUAAUCUAUCGUGGCACAUGUACACUUAAACAUUACUGUAAUACAUGAUCAUAAAAAGAUACGUAGUGUCCGGGAACGGAAUGUAUACGAGACAUUCAAGAGAAAUAAAAGGACAUCUAAUUACAUUUCAGUUUGUAUAGAUCUUCUUUAUAUGCCACAUGGAUGCACUUGAUGGGAUAUUUAUUACCCUGUGCAAUAUUUCACUGUCUGCUUAUAAAUAU